GUUGACAGCUAGCGCAUUUCCCGCUCCACUCUCCCUCCCUUCAUAAAUUUAAGAUCAACAAUAUAAAGUUACUUACAUAUGAGGCGCCCGGAGCCAGAGGGAACCAACCCACACGAACCUACUUUCGAGAAAAACGCGUUUAAAGUUGAACAAUUAAUACUACCGUAAGAUCGGUCACAAUAUUAUCAUAUUAUACAUCAUUGGAAAGGCCUCGGCAAGACCUGUCAUGCCAUGUGUUUUUUAAUAGUAUAUUCUAUGUUUUAACUUUUACAGAGAUUAUUAUAAAUACCCCUACACCCGUAGCGGAAAUUUUUUUCCCAGGAAGGUUAUGUUUUAGGUUCAUUUUUUCAAAGUGUAUGAUAAAACAAGCAUUAUGUAAAAAAAUUAUGACGAUAUGCUUUUAACUCGAUUUUUUACGAAUUUUUUUUAUGAGCGAAUAAAGCAAUAUUUCCCCCUAGCGCAACUUUUAUUCCCGAAAAUGUUUUAUUUCCCUAUUUUCUCUUCAUUUCUGAAGAGAUUAUAGUGUGAGAUGUAUCUGUAUAGAAGAUUGUGAUAUUGUAUUUUAAAAUUUAUUUUCUAUGAUUU